UCCGGUUUGUUUCCGGCAGUCUCUCUAGACAUUCAACUAGAAAUAAGGGUUGCGCUCGUUGAGGGACUUAACCCAACAUCUCACGACACGAGCUGACGACAGCCAUGCAACAUCUGUGUAUCCGCCCUUGCGGGGGCCUCUCUUUCGAGAGGUUGCGAAUACAUGUCAAGCCCAGGUAAGGUUCUUCGCGUUGCAUCGAAUUAAACCACACGCUCCGCUGCUUGUGCGGGGACCCGUCAAUUCCUUUGAGUUUUAGUCUUGCGACCGUACUCCCCAGGCGGGCCACUUAAUGCGUUAGCUUCGGCACGGAAGGGGUCAACACCCCCCACACCUAGUGGCCAUCGUUUACUGCUAGGACUAC
rnacentral:misc_RNA from 1 species